rnacentral:misc_RNA from 1 species
UGGUUCUCGCAUCGAUGAAGAACGCAGCGAAAUGCGAUAAGUAAUGUGAAUUGCAGAAUUCAGUGAAUCAUCGAAUCUUUGAACGCAUAUUGCGCCCUUUGGUAUUCCGAGGGGCAUGCCUUUUCGAGCGUCAUUAGGAUCAACAAUCAAGCUUCGCUUGGAAUUGAGCGCACAGAGUCAACUGCGCUUCAAAUCAGAGUCUAAGGCGUGGUCCGUAGGUCGACGUGAGGUGCGGUCAUUGCGACCGCGCCAUCGGCGACCGGCUCGCUCGGGAUGCCAGGUAUUGCACCAGACACCUAGGCGGCCCGGGUGGGUUAGGGUUCUUCGGCCCAGCAACUGACAGUCUAGACGGGGAAGCUAGACGUUGGACCUCGGAUAAGGUAGGGAUACCCGCUGA